rnacentral:rRNA from 1 species
AUUGAACGCUGGCGGCAGGCCUAACACAUGCAAGUCGAGCGGAUGAAGGGAGCUUGCUCCUGGAUUCAGCGGCGGACGGGUGAGUAAUGCCUAGGAAUCUGCCUGGUAGUUGGGGAUAACGUCCGGUAACGGGCGCUAAUACCGCAUACGUCCUGAGGGUGAAAGGGGGGGAUCUUCGGACCUCACGCUAUCAGAUGAGCCUAGGUCGCAUUAGCUAGUUGGUGGGGUAAAGGCCUACCAAGGCGACGAUCCGUAACUGGUCUGAGAGGAUGAUCAGUCACACUGGAACUGAGACACGGUCCAGACUCCUACGGGAGGCAGCAGUGGGGAAUAUUGGACAAUGGGCGAAAGCCUGAUCCAGCCAUGCCGCGUGUGUGAAGAAGGUCUUCGGAUUGUAAAGCACUUUAAGUUGGGAGGAAGGGCAGUAAGUUAAUACCUUGCUGUUUUGACGUUACCAACAGAAUAAGCACCGGCUAACUUCGUG